AUUGAACGCUGGCGGCAGGCCUAACACAUGCAAGUCGAAUGGUAACAGGAAACAGCUUGCUGUUUCGCUGACGAGUGGCGGACGGGUGAGUAAUGUCUGGGAAACUGCCUGAUGGAGGGGGAUAACUACUGGAAACGGUAGCUAAUACCGCAUAACGUCGCAAGACCAAAGAGGGGGACCUUCGGGCCUCUUGCCAUCAGAUGUGCCCAGAUGGGAUUAGCUAGUAGGUGGGGUAACGGCUCACCUAGGCGACGAUCCCUAGCUGGUCUGAGAGGAUGACCAGCCACACUGGAACUGAGACACGGUCCAGACUCCUACGGGAGGCAGCAGUGGGGAAUAUUGCACAAUGGGCGCAAGCCUGAUGCAGCCAUGCCGCGUGUAUGAAGAAGGCCUUCGGGUUGUAAAGUACUUUCAGCGGGGAGGAAGGGAGUAAGUUAAUACCUUUGCUCAUUGACGUUACCCGCAGAAGAAGCACCGGCUAACUCCGUG
rnacentral:rRNA from 1 species